CCCUUAGAUGUUCUGGGCUGCACGCGCGCUACACUGAUGCGCUCAACGAGCUUAUAACCUUGGCCGAAAGGUCUGGGUAAUCUCCAAAUUUCGUCGUGAUGGGGAUAGAUUAUUGCAAUUAUUAAUCUUCAACGAGGAAUGCCUAGUAAGCGCAAGUCAUCAGCUUGCGUUGAUUACGUCCCUGCCCUUUGUACACACCGCCCGUCGCUCCUACCGAUUGAAUGGUCCGGUGAAGCGUUCGGACCGUGGCCUUUGGACGGUUCGCCGUCUGUUGGCUGCGGGAAGUUCGUUAAACCUUAUCAUUUAGAGGAAGGAGAAGUCGUAACA
rnacentral:rRNA from 1 species